CCUACGGGAGGCAGCAGUGGGGGAUAUUGCACAAUGGGGGGAACCCUGAUGCAGCGACGCCGCGUGGGUGAAGAAGCGCCUCGGCGCGUAAAGCCCUGUCAGCAGGGAAGAAAAUGACGGUACCUGAAGAAGAAGCCCCGGCUAACUACGUGCCAGCAGCCGCGGUAAUACGUAGGGGGCAAGCGUUAUCCGGAUUUACUGGGUGUAAGGGGGGCGCAGAUGGCGAUGCAAGCCAGGAGUGAAAGCCGGGGGCCCAACCCGGGGACUGCCCUUGGAACUGCGUGGCUGGAGUGCAGGAGGGGCAGGCGGAAUUCGUGGUGUAGCGGUGAAAUGCGUAGAUAGCAGGAGGAACACCGAUGGCGAAGGCGGCCUGCUGAACUGCAACUGACAUUGAGGCCCGAAAGUGUGGGGAGCAAACAGGAUUAGAUACCCCAGUAGUC
rnacentral:rRNA from 1 species